rnacentral:rRNA from 1 species
GAUGAACGCUGACAGAAUGCUUAACACAUGCAAGUCUACUUGAAGCUAACUUCGGUUAGUGGAGGGUGGCGGACGGGUGAGUAACGCGUAAAGAACUUGCCUCACAGAUUGGGACAACAUUUGGAAACGAAUGCUAAUACCGGAUAUUAUGAUACUUCCGCGUGGAAGAAUCAUGAAAGCUAUAUGCGCUGUGAGAGAGCUUUGCGUCCCAUUAGCUAGUUGGAGAGGUAACGGCUCACCAAGGCGAUGAUGGGUAGCCGGCCUGAGAGGGUGAACGGCCACAAGGGGACUGAGACACGGCCCUUACUCCUACGGGAGGCAGCAGUGGGGAAUAUUGGACAAUGGACCAAAAGUCUGAUCCAGCAAUUCUGUGUGCACGAUGAAGUUUUUCGGAAUGUAAAGUGCUUUCAGUUGGGAAGAAGCAAGUGACGGUACCAACAGAAGAAGCGACGGCUAAAUACGUGCCAGCAGCCGCGGUAAUACGUAUGUCGCAAGCGUUAUCCGGAUUUAUUGGGCGUAAAGCGCGUCUAGGUGGUUAUAUAAGUCUGAUGUGAAAAUGCGGGGCUCAACUCCGUAUUGCGUUGGAAACUGUAUGACUAGAGUACUGGAGAGGUAAGCGGAACUACAAGUGUAGAGGUGAAAUUCGUAGAUAUUUGUAGGAAUGCCGAUGGGGAAGCCAGCUUACUGGACAGAUACUGACGCUAAAGCGCGAAAGCGUGGGUAGCAAACAGG